GACGAACGCUGGCGGCGUGCUUAACACAUGCAAGUCGAACGGAAAGGCCCUGCUUGCAGGGUACUCGAGUGGCGAACGGGUGAGUAACACGUGGGUGAUCUGCCUCGUACUUCGGGAUAAGCCUGGGAAACUGGGUCUAAUACCGGAUAGGACCUUCUUUUAGUGUGGAAGGUGGAAAGUUUUCGGUACGAGAUGAGCCCGCGGCCUAUCAGCUUGUUGGUGGGGUAAUGGCCUACCAAGGCGACGACGGGUAGCCGGCCUGAGAGGGUGUACGGCCACAUUGGGACUGAGACACGGCCCAG
rnacentral:rRNA from 1 species